GUGUAUUCUACAGUGCACGUGUCUCCAGUGUGGCUCGGCGCGGCCCUGUUGGAGUAAC
rnacentral:pre_miRNA from 1 species